GACGUAGGGCGCGAGCGUUGUCCGGAUUUAUUGGGCGUAAAGAGCUCGUAGGCGGCUUGUCGCGUCGAAUGUGAAAACUCGGGGCUCAACUCCGAGCUUGCAUUCGAUACGGGCAGGCUAGAGUUCGGUAGGGGAGACUGGAAUUCCUGGUGUAGCGGUGAAAUGCGCAGAUAUCAGGAGGAACACCGGUGGCGAAGGCGGGGUCUCUGGGGCCGAUACUGACGCUGAGGAGCGAAAAGCGUGGGGGAGCAAACAGGG
rnacentral:rRNA from 1 species